rnacentral:lncRNA from 1 species
GCAAAUUAAAGAGCAAUACAAAGGCAAAGUUAUAAGUCAAAAUCCAACAAAAACGGACAUUGCUUUUUCAAAUCAAAAUCCAAAUACAUUGAACCAACCAACCAAUUACACCCUUUCUUUCUUCCCCUUUUUCUCACUAGUCACCUACCAAAUCAAGAUCCCAAAACUUCUUAUAUAUUCAUACAACCACCUCAAUUCCAUCACUACAAAAUUGAAGGACGUAACAAUAUAUUCAUUCUUACACUAAUACAUAUUUUUGUGCACUAAGUUUUCUAUUCUACCAUGGUUGUGACUUCACAAACAUUAGAAAUUACGGUUAUAUCUGGUGAAAAUAUUCAUGUAACGGAGGAUGCAUACGUUGUUGUUCGAGGUGAGUCUCUUAAUUGUUACACAACAAAAACGGUGAAAGAUAAUGAUAAUUGUGGGAAAAACUCGAGUUUUCUUUCAUGGAAUGAGAAGUUUUUGUUGAACAUGCCAUUGCAUGCAAGGUCAAUCACUUUUGAGGUGCAAUGCAAGAAGUUUAAAAGUGUACGUCCUAUUGGGGUGGCAAGAAUUGCUCUUUCGGAUUUUCUCAAUGGCAUCGCGCCGGAAAAUUGUUUGCAAAUUUUGAGUUAUAAAUUGAGGAACUGGGAAGGGAGGCAAAAUGGAGUUAUUCAUUUCAGUGUGAGGGUGGUUGUGCCGGAGAAAACAUCGGCUACCGUGGCGGUUGAAAAGCAGACUGUCGCGGAUGGAAAGAAUUAUGGUGGUCGGUUAACUGGAAUGGAUGUUGGUACCAAGGACUCUAAUGGUGUUGCUAUUGGUAUUCCGUUUUGGUGGAAUUACCCAAACAUUAUUUAAAUAUUUAUAUUUAUAUUAUUUGAUUUUUUGCAUUCUUGUCAAAGAUUAAUGAAGUCAAUUUUGAUGCACAAUAUAUUAUUGUGAUACAUACAAGUGUAAAAUAUCAUUUCAACAAAUAAACUUAAUGAUCAAUCUAAGAUUCAACUUAGAUCUUAUAGAUUCUAAGUUGAUAGAUUUAAUGUUUAAAGUUGAUGUUUGCGGUCCAAGAUAUGUGCGCCUGUGAAUAUAAGUUGCAUAAAUGCAAGGAAAAAAAAAAGUAAGUAUAAGAAGCAUAAAAGUACCUUGGCUUGGCAUAGUUGGGGUCGAAUCUCGAGACCAUUUCUUGCAAUUCAUUAAUUAUUCAGGUGGUUUGAGAUCGCAACGCUCGUUUUUUCACCUUAUAUGGCUCUUAUGUGUUUGGGUGUUGUGGAAUGAGCGGAAUUAAUGAUAGAGUUUUCAGGAAUAAACAAAGCUCACUAUCGCAUAUGUUAGAUAAAGUAAAAUCAUAUUACAUGUGGUGGUUGAAAGCUAGUAACGUUGUUUCUAGUUUUGGUACUCAUAACUGGUGGUCGAACCCGCUCUUAUGUAUGAGUAUCGACUGACUAUUUUGUAAUACUGACUAGACUGUGUUUCUUUUCGUGAUUGUUUAGGCACAACUUAUGCUGCAACAAUUACGCUUUCGAUGUUAAUAUAUUUCAUUUUUACUUGUAAAAAAAAUAGUAAAAGGAAAUGGUGUAUAUUAUUAUAAGUAGUAUCGUUCAAACGUUUGUUUUUUGUAUUGUACUGCUAACACGUGUAAAUUAUGAAUAAUAUUUUUUAAGGUGAGAGAAAUACCACAAAGAGAAUAUGAUGUUACUAUGCAUUUUCAACCCUACUAUAUGAAAACCAAAUCGACACUUAUAUUUUGUCCGAAAAUAGUGGUGAUUUAUAAGGUGAGUGCUUGUUGCUUUCCUUCCAUAUUUAUUAGAUUUUUUUUUACUACAUGUAAGUAGAUUAUUAUAAAGAAUAUACGAAAUAUAGUGCAUGGUUUUAUAUUUUUAGAAAUGAUUGUUUGAGAUGAAAACGUUGGAAGAGGGUUUGAGCAAUGGGAUUUGAUUUGAUAAGAAUAUUUUCGGAAUACUAGGAAGGAAGAAGCAACUUAAUCAAANUUUUUUUUUUUUAGUAAGUACUAAAUUGAUAUUGUGUUUAGUCUAACUUCUCCUUAAAAAUAUAGAGAAGUUGGAAAAAGUCGCGUCAAACGAUACCUUAAUCUCCCACAACGGCAAUGUAGAAACAACUGAAUUUAAGAUUAUUUUUAUUAAUAUAAAAUAAAAAAGAAAAUAAUAUAAAAUAAAUAAAAAAUAAUAAAUAUAAAAAAGAAAAUAAUACAAAAGUAAAAAAAAUUGGAUGAGGUGGCAAUCCUCAAAGUUAAGAAAUUAUGGAAUUACCAAAUUGCCCCUUUUAGGGACAAAAUUGUAAAUUUAUAUGGCAUUAAUUUUAAUAAAUAGUUAGUAGAUCAUCCAAAGUUGAUCAAAGUAUAGUCUUUAUAAUUAAAAACAUAUUAGUACAGUUUCCAAAAAAAUAUAAAUUAGUGCAACAAUACUAGAUUUAAUUAAAAAAAAUACAACAAGUAAAUUCAAGAAAAAAUAAGGCAUGGGUUUUCUGUUUUUAAAGAAAAACGAAUCGAACCAUGCAUCCUAACAAUUCAAAAAAACUGAACCACACCGUUUGUGGUUUAAGACGAACCAAACCAAAUCAUUUUGCUAACUACAAGUUGAACCAAACCGAACCUAAAUCAACCUUUUGAGAGAUAAAUGUUUUGGAUACUAUUUAAAGAAUCCAUUCAUAUAAAAUUGCUAAUUUGGUUCAAAACUGUUCAUUAAAGGUUCGGUUUGGUUCAAAACGGUUAGGUUCAAAACUAAGGAUUAAGUCAAAAAACACAAUCGACUUUAAAUAUUAUCUUUAACCUCAAAGAAUACAUACAUACAAAGGAUUUGCAUUUUACUCGAUAAUUCUACUUGACUUUAAAUAUUAUCGACUUUCUCAUAUAAAAAGGUGUUAUGACUUUUCUUUAAUAUAAAAUUUAAAUUCAUUAAAAAAUUAUUUAAGAAAUCUUGACCAUUGAAUAAAAAUUUAGGAUUAUGUAAAAAAAAAAAAAAAAAAUCUUGGCUUGCUUUAGAAGAAAUCCUAAGAUUAUAAGCUAGUUGGAUUAUGUGAUGCUGACUAUGUUGAAGGCAGAAUUGAAAGAAAAAACAUCCAUGGAAAUUGUCAAUUCAUUGGUAAAAAUCUAAUCUCCUGAUCUAAUAAAAGACAAUCCAUUAUUGCAUUGUCCACAAUAGAAGUAAAAUACAAAUGAUAUGGAUGAAAAACCAAUUAGAAGACCAUCAGAUUAGUGAAACCGGUAUUCUUAUUUUUUAUUUUUUUGAUAAUAUUGUUGCUAUUUGUUUGUCUAAAAAUCAUAUUCUACACCGAAGAGCUAAGCACAUUAUAAUAAAGCAUCACUUUAUAAGAGAUUAUGUUUAGAAAUAUGUUUUAGAUAUAAAGUUCAUUGAUAUUGAUCAAUGAUAAGCUGAUAUAUUUACAAAACCCUUAACGGAAGAAAGAUUUAACUUUAUGUAGAAAAAUCUGAACAUGCAUUUUAUUCAAGAAAGAUUUAACUUUUUUUAGUUUGAUAGUAGUGUUUAUGAUGUCAGGGUCACUGUUAACUGUUUAUAGAAUGCCUGCAAUUGAUUUGCAGUUUAUACAGGAAUUCUAACUACAUGAUAAGACGGAAAGAGUAACCGUCUUAAAUUUUUUCUUAUCCUUAAACUCAACAGUCUCAAAUUCACUAGAAUUUCUAAUAAGAAUUUCUCCUCCCAUGAAAGUAAACCCUCUGUCUCCUUCACCAUUUUUGUCGUGCAAGAGUUGAGAGAUUCAGCUCGAACAACAACAUAAAUAUCUUUUGUCUUUGAAUUUUGAUCGACGCUUAUGUUUUGUCCACUAUUGGUAGCUAAAUUAUUAUGAAACAUAUAAGUAGUUUUAGGGUAUGGUUUUGUAUUUUUAGGAAUGAUUGUUUGAGAUGAAAAUGCUGGAAGAGGGUUUAAGUAAUGGAAUUUGAUACGAAAAUGUAAAGAAAGGAAGAAAUAACUAUGAAUUAAUUGUUUAAUUAAUAUUUGUAUACAAUUCAUUUAUUUACUUUAGAAAAAAAGAAUUUGUUGUCAUGAAACUACCAAGGACAAACAAUAGUAUCAUACAUUAGUAUGUACAAAAAUAUUACUCCCUCCGUCCCUAAUUAUAAGAUCCUUUGAGAAUUUUUUUUGUCCCUUUUUAUAAGACCUCUUUGUUAUUUCCAACUACAUUAAUUAUUUCUUUACAUACAUGCCCCUAUUUAUUAUACAUCUUUUUCUUCAAUCAGCAAUAAAUAGCAUAUGGAAAACAUAAACUAACUCUCUUUCUUAAGGAUAAUAUUGUAAAAACAAUAGUGAUUACAAACAACUUUAAUACAAAUAUCCACUUUCUUAAUUCCCGUGAUUUUAGCAAAAGGGUUUUAUAAUUAGGGACGGGGGAGUAGUAUAUAUAGGUAUUGACCUUGAUCUUGAUUUAAGUAUUAAUUUUAACUUAACUUAAUUGGAAAUGUCUUAGAAGUUUAAUUUUCGUGUGGCAUUGGAAAGCACUUAAAUGGUAGUACUUGUUACGUGUGUUUUGGAGGUAGACUUAUUCAAAGAUUCAAUAUUGUAAUUUAAUCUUUCUUCUGUCUCACGUAACCAUUAGUUUUUUUAUUUUUUUUUUUAUUUUUUAUGAAUUUAGUGUUUAUUAUUGUUACCCACAAUUUCCAGACACAUCAAGCUAAUUAAAUAUGUGAGGUGAGGCUUAACCUACCUUUCAAAAAUUAUGGAUCCAUCAAUCAAUCGAAAUUAACCAAAUGAGUAAAUAUAUAAAUAAUAUUCACAAAAUAAUUAACUUUAAUUUUACUUGUAAAUUUGUUUAUGUGAUUAAGGUACGUUUGGGCAAGCUUUUUUUCAGUCUAAAAACUACUUUAAAAUAAAGUUAAAAUAAAGUUCUUUAAGGAAAAAGUUAAAGCUGUUUGGUUUCUUUAUUUUUUUUAGUUUUAAAGUUAUUUUUAAGUUAAAAAGUUGUUUGACAAAAUAUUGUACAAAACUUUGAAUUUUUUUUAUUUUUUUUUUGUGGUGUCCGGGGUUCGAACCACGCGACCUUGCAUAUAUUUAUACAUUGUCUAUAUCAACUGAGCUAAGUUAGAGAAUAGUUUGUUUUUUCUUUUCCAAUUAUAUUGUAUAACAAAUUUUGUUAUAAGAAUAUCAUAUUUUUGGUGUCAUUUAAAAAGAUAAGAAUUUAUAUUAUAUAUAUUAUAUUUGUUACAUUGUAGGUGUUAUUGAAAAAGAUAUGUUUAGUUUUUUUAAUAAGAAAAAGAUAUGCAUAGUUUGUUACAAUAUAAAUGUGUAAAAUAUAUAUAAGAUACCGUUUGGCCCGACUUUUUUUUUCAGCUUUUCUAUAUUUUUAAGGAGAAGUUAGGCCAAACACAAUAUCAAUAAAGUACCUUCGAAAAAAAGUACUUUUUUUAGAAUUCAUAAAAUUGAAUGAAAUGAGCUUUAACCAAAAGUUGUUGAAUGCUACUUCAAAAAACUACUUCUCUGUAAUUUAUUUCACAAGCACUUUUCUUCAACUCACGCAGGCAACCUUCUCUUCAACAAAUUGAAAUAUAAUAUUAAAAAAUAAAAGAUAAGGUUGUCUGUGUGAGUUGAAAGAAGUGCUUGUGAAAUAAAUUACAGAGAAGUUGUUUUUUGAAGUAGAAUUCAACAACUUUUGGUUAAAACUCAUUCCAUUCAAUUUUAUGCAUUUCAAAAAAUGUGCUUUUUUUUCGAAGGUAAUUUAUUGAUAUUGUGUUUGGCCCAGCUCUCCUUAAAAAUGUAGAAAAACUUAAAAAAAAGCCGGAUCAAACGUUACCUAAUAUUGAUUGGUUGAAGCCAUGAUAUUUAAAUCUGUUCAUUGGAAAACCCUCUGUUCUCUGACCUUUCUCUAUCGCGCCGCCCCUAACCCUUUCAUCCAAAUUCUCCACCAUGUAACUCCGGUAGGUGGCGGUGCGACGAGUUCUUGCUCCGCACCAUCCUUUGUUCCGUUGGAGCCGUCGCAGAUCUCCUUUCUUGGGUCGAUUACUGCUCUUCCGGCGGCGGUUGUUUCAGGAGGUUGUAGCUUCUGACGUAGGGUGUUAUAACGGCGUGGGUGCGUUGUUUCUCCAUCGUCGUUACGUCUGCGUUUCAAAACCGGGUCUGUUUCCACGAAGAUUCGGCGGGGUCGUUUUAAAACAAGUUCUCUGUGUUCGCGUGCUGCUGCUCAUACAGUGGGUGGUUCUUGAUUCAAGGACAAACAAUAGUAUCAUACAUUAGUAUGUACAAAAAUAUUAGUAUAUAUAGGUAUUGACCUUGAUCUUGAUUUAAGUAUUAAUUUUAACUUAACUUAAUUGGAAAUGUCUUAGAAGUUUAAUUUUCGUGUGGCAUUGGAAAGCACUUAAAUGGUAGUACUUGUUACGUGUGUUUUGGAGGUAGACUUAUUCAAAGAUUCAAUAUUGUAAUUUAAUCUUUCUUCUGUCUCACGUAACCAUUAGUUAAUUUUAUUUUUUAUUUUUUUUUUUAUUUUUUUUUUAUUUAUGAAUUUAGUGUUUAUUAUUGUUACCCACAAUUUCCAGACACAUCAAGCUAAUUAAAUAUGUGAGGUGAGGCUUAACCUACCUUUCAAAAAUUAUGGAUCCAUCAAUCAAUCAAAAUUAAUCAAAUGAGUAAAUAUAUAAAUGAUAUUCACAAAAUAAUUAACUUUAAUUUUACUUGUAAAUUUGUUUAUGUGAUUAAUAUUGAUUGGUUGAAGUAUAAAUUACCCACAAUUCUCUAAAUGUAACAUAGAAAAACUAACCGUAGAUGCCAUUAUACUGCGUUAUGAUAUUAAAAAGUUUAGGCAAGUUGAGUCUCGGAGCUCACUAGAAUUAGAGCAAAUCUGAUGGUUUAAGAACACUUACAAAUAUAUUUAUAGAUCUCUCACAAAAGAUGUCUUCAUAUUAACAAUGAGAAUUGAACCUACGUUCUUACGAGAUAUCAGCGCAACUAUCGAUAGUGUACGGGAUCAAUAUUAUAGAAGAUUACAAAUAUGGGGUAUAUGACCUUGUUUUACUGUUUGAAAUCUUUUUGACUAAACAGUGGAUGAGAGAAUUAAACCAUUUUUAAUGACAGAUUCUUCCCUUCCAAUGAUGAACAGACAUGGACAAAGGUUUAUAGGAUAAGAAGGACAUGUUGAUACAACGUGGAGCCAGUGAUGUUUUCUCACACGUAAAGUAAGCAUAAUAUUGUCAUGUUGAUGACCACUUUAAAAUAAAUAUUAUUUAAAAUAUUUAUAUAUGUAUUAAAAAAUCAAUGAUUAGAAUAAAAAAUAUAUAUAUUUUUAUCAAAUUAUUCUUAUUAACUAUUGAUUUUUUCAUUAAAAAAUAUAAAUGAUCGUUCUUUCCAUAUAAUUUCAUUUCAUCUAAAAAAUACUAUAUAAUAUCAAUCAAAUAACGUCUUCAGCUUAGCAUGAAAACGGUGGAAAUUCAUUAAAAAAAACGGUGGAAAUGCAGCAGCAAAUUAAAGAGCAAUACAAAGGCAAAGUUAUAAGUCAAAAUCCAACAAAAACGGACAUUGCUUUUUCAAAUCAAAAUCCAAAUACAUUGAACCAACCAACCAAUUACACCCUUUCUUUCUUCCCCUUUUUCUCACUAGUCACCUACCAAAUCAAGAUCCCAAAACUUCUUAUAUAUUCAUACAACCACCUCAAUUCCAUCACUACAAAAUUGAAGGACGUAACAAUAUAUUCAUUCUUACACUAAUACAUAUUUUUGUGCACUAAGUUUUCUAUUCUACCAUGGUUGUGACUUCACAAACAUUAGAAAUUACGGUUAUAUCUGGUGAAAAUAUUCAUGUAACGGAGGAUGCAUACGUUGUUGUUCGAGGUGAGUCU